rnacentral:lncRNA from 1 species
AAUGCCUGAUUUUAAAUCACUCUAGGAUAUCCCUGACUAACCCUCUUUUUUCAGUCUCCAUAGAAGCAUCUUUAAGGCACCAGGGACUUCCCAAAUCAUUACAUGCAUUGGAGAAUCUGAUGUUCUAUUCAGCUUCAUCAAAAUCCUGAGGAACUUUCCCUCCUUUGGAUAGAACACCUCAGGAUGUAGAGAAGAUAUCAGUUAAUAUUUGUUGAAUUGCUUCUCGCAAAACAAUGCCUUGGACAAACUUCCAACUAAAUUUAGGGAUGAAUUAGUAAAUGAGACUCCAAUGCUUUCGAAGUUUAAUAUCAAUCAUUUUCAGUAAUUUUUGGAAAUCCGUGACUUCUCUAAUUCCUCCCUAAAUUUCAAGAUCACACCUGUACAGGAAG